rnacentral:lncRNA from 1 species
UUACAUGUAAUUAUUUCUAAACCCUUUUUAAUUCACAAAACAUCUUAUGGGCAUUAUUGGCUUUUGUAAAAAAUAAAAACCCUAAUUGGUACACUAUAUAAGUAUAAAUCCUAAGCGGCGCCUCCUUCCACCGUUCCCUUCUAACCUUAAACUCAACCUCCUUCAACUUUGAAACUCUCAUGCUUCACCAUUCUUAAUCCUCUUUAAAACAACAUCCAUAAAAGAAAUUUCCAAACUCUUCACAUAUAACAUAACCAAAACACAAAAUUCCAUUUAUUCCAAUAAUCUAUGUGACUAAACCGCGACAAUACAAUCGUGCUUCAACCUCGUUUCUCACCAUGUGAACAAUGCUACAACAACCGAACAUCGACGCAACUUGUUUCAGCAACAUCAACACUUUACUUUGCUUUCGAUAAACAAAACGAUUCUGUUUUUGGUAAAUUUUCAAUAUGAAAACCUUGUUGCAUUCUAUGUUUUUUUUAUUUAUAUUUGAAUUGUUUUACGUUUGUGUAUGCACUAACUUUAUGUGUGUUGUUAGGACGAUACAUUAUGUAUACGUUUCGGUUGCGUUGCACACUAUUUUCUUAUUUUGAGAAUGUCAUGGCAGUUUGUAAUUCAGUAAAUAUUGUUUGAUAUGAUGUUGCUUUGAUUAACCUGUGUCGACUAUUCGACAAUUUCCAACAACUAUUCAACAGUGGUAACGAUCCAAAAUAUUUUUUCUUUUGCAUGUAGUUGCUCUGGUUUAGGUUCGAUUUACAUUACGUUAGUUGCUGAAUUGUGUGUGUAUUUUGUUUUAAUUUCUACUCGGUGAUGUUCAAACUAGUGAUUCAAAACGUAAAUUGAUUUCUACUUGCUUAUGUAAUUUGCGACUUGUUUCUAGUUUAUCCUGGGGCAUUGUGAUCAAAUUAAUAAUGUUUUUGUGUAGUCCGUGUGGAUUCAAAUAACGGUUCCUUACGGGGUAUUAAUUUGACAAGUCAUUUUACUGCCAUUGUGUGGAGCUUUAUUUUACAGGUUGUUUAACGAUUCAUGCUAUGUUUGUUAUGGUUCAUGGUAUCCUGCAUAUACUUUCUUAGAGAAGACAUGAACGAUGUUUCUCUAACUCAUUUUUGUUGCUGUUAGUAUAAAUAAAUAUGGUUUUAAUAUAAGGUUUCUACUUAAUGUUUUUUUCUUUUUAAAUACUUGUCCAAAUUUAUAUUUUAAUAUAAGAUUUAUUAUUACUUUAUUUUUGUUUAACUAAUCAUGAUGA